GCAUAGGGGGCGCUGUUGGUGCGGUUUCGCUCCGCCUCUGGCCGGCUGAUUGGUUUAUCUGUGAUGUCGUGGAGGCAGCUCUCUCUGCCACUGGCCAAUGCGCACAAAGCCCUUUCUGUACCCUCUCUCUACUGUAUUCAGAUACGUGCCUUUGUGCACCAUUACGACGCGACCCCAAUGGCCUCGUAGCAACACUAAAAAUUUAGUGGUUGUACGGGAACAGGGCAGCCCUGUUCAGACACACAGCUCGUCUCCAAAUGCGACCGGGGCUGGCGGGUAUAGCAGUGGAGAUGCUGAGCGGUGCUACCUGCAGGGUCAGGCCGAGGCUCGGCAGCCUCUUGCUGGCCCCUCUCACCAAAACAGUACCGCUGAUGUCAAGCACAGGGAGCCAGAGAUUUCGCUCCACGUCCUCGAUGCAAGGCUUUUCAGAGCUGGCAAGAGAGCGGUCGAAGACUGUCACGUCGUUUUACAACCAGUCAGCAAUUGACGCUUCCGCAGAAAAGGCCUCAGUGCGACUGACCUUAGCCACCCUGCUGUAUUCUGGGAAGUCUCCCGAUGGACACCACAUCUUGAGCAGUGCCAAGUACCUACACAAGGAGCUACCUGUACGGAUCGCCCAUCGCAUCAAGGGCUUCCGCAGUUUGCCGUUCAUCAUCGGUUGCAACCCCACCAUUCUGCAAGUGCAUGAACUGUAUAUCAGGGCCUACCACAUGCUCAGUGACUUUCCUCCGAUCAAGGAUCAGGACGUGGAGGCUCGUUUCUGUAAGCUGGUGCAGCAGCUGCUCGACGAUCAUAAGGACGUGGUCACCAUGCUGGCCCAGGGCUUCAGGGAGUGUCGCAGACACAUCCAGGAUGAGACAAUCCUCCGCAGCUUCCUGGACACAACGCUGUGUUCCCGUCUGGGAAUCCGAAUGUUGGCCACACACCAUCUGGCCCUUCACGAAGAUAAUCCUGAUUUCGUUGGGAUUAUAUGCAGACGUCUGUCCCCCAAAAAGAUCAUAGAGAAGUGGGUGGACUUUGCCAGGCGUCUGUGCGAGCACCAGUAUGGGAACUCUCCCAGAGUGAGGAUCAACGGACACGUGGCAGCUCGAUUCCCCUUCAUCCCUCUGCCUCUGGAUUACAUCCUACCCGAGCUCCUCAAGAAUGCCAUGAGGGCCACCAUGGAAAGCCAUCUGGACACCCCAUACAACGUGCCUGAUGUGGUUGUCACUAUUGCCAACAACGACAUUGAUUUUGUCAUCAGGAUUUCAGAUCGCGGUGGCGGCAUCCCUCACAACAUCAUAGACAAGGUGAUGGAUUACCACUUCAGCACGGCUGAGGAGAGCGCACAGGAUCCCCGCAUGAGCAACUUCUUCAACAACAUUACCAACACUGGAAACCAGUCCAGCCCUAUGCAUGGGUUCGGCUUCGGGUUGCCCACAUCCAGGGCCUACGCUGAGUACCUCGGCGGCUCUCUCUCCGUACAGUCUAUGCAGGGCAUCGGCACCGACGUCUACCUGCGUCUGCGCCACAUCGACGGCAAAGGAGAGAGCUUCCGAGUGUAAAGAUUUUCCAUUGGUCACCAUUGUAGAGCCCAACCUAGGAAUCAGGCCAUGCAGGAGUACAGGGGAGCCAAGAAGGCUGGCAUGGACUACAGGACUUUGGUCCACAAAGUGAUAGCCUACACAAAGUCUGCUGCAGGCUGAGAAUUUCAUCUUCCAACACAGGUCUCCAAGACCUCUGAAGUAUUCAUUUAAGAAACACAAAUCCACGGACAUGAGACAAAGAAAGGUGCUCCCCGGCACUUGCUCGCUGUACACCUAAACUACAAGUGCACUUUUGUCUCAACUGAGAAGCAUAAAAUAUAAAUGAACAACUGAGCAACGCUUUGGUCAGUCAUCGUAUUUGGAAUGUGGUAACAGGUUGGUACAUUUUACUUUUUGACCUCAUCUAAGGCAGUGCCAACUCACCGUGUGUGUGUGUGUGUGUGUGUGUGUGUGUGUGUGUGUGUGUGUGUGUGUGUGUGUGUGUGUGUGUGUGUGUGUGUGUGUGUGUUUUGAUUCUUUUAGUUAACCCACACUCACAGAAAGGUCUCAGAUAUUUAGUAUGUGAACUGGAGGUCAUGCUGAUUACAACAUGCACUCUGUGACUCUUCUCAUUUCAUACUCUUCACCGUUUUGACCUUUUUUUUCCCCCAGAACCCUUUGGGCUGUUUAAACUUUAUUGAUUUAAACUCUGCAUCCGUUAUGACCUUAAGCUAAACAGCAGUUCAUAAAAGGCAAUGAUUCUGUAAGGCAGAACUAUAUUUGGACUGUAACACAUUCAUAUUUAAUCCAUUGAGCAGCAUGGGUAUGCAGACUCAACUGGUUUGACACCUUUUACAUUUACGGGGUCUUUGUAAAAGAUAGUAAAAGCUAUUCAAAGGAGGAACGUGACAAAACAGCUGAGGCUUGUCUGAGAUUUUGAACAUAAAAAAAAAA